CAAUAGCGUAUUUGUAUGUUGUUGCAGCUAAAAAGUUCGUAGUUGGAUGUGUGUUUGUUUGUUGGGUGUCGGUUUGUACUGAAGCUCGAUAAUGAACAUUGGUGGGAUUUGUUGGUGCUGGCAUUAAGUUGUCGGUGUUGAAGAACCCACAUUUUACUGUGAAAAAAUUAGAGUGUUUAAAGCAGGUUUUAGCUAGAAUACAUUAGCAUGGAAUAAUGAUAUAUGACCUUUGUGGCGUAUUUUGUUGGUUUGUCUGUAGAGGUAAUGAUUAAUAGGGGUAGUUGGGGGUAUUCAUAUUUGAGCGUCAGAGGUGAAAUUCUUGGAUCGCUGAAAGAUGAUCUAUUGCGAAAGCAUUUACCAAGGAUGUUUNCAUUAA
rnacentral:rRNA from 1 species